GGAAUCUUAGACAAUGGGGGAAACCCUGAUCUAGCCAUGCCGCGUGAGUGACGAAGGCCUUAGGGUCGUAACGCUCUUUCGCCAGGGAUGAUAAUGACAGUACCUGGUAAAGAAACCCCGGCUAACUCUGUGCCAGCAGCCGCGGUAAUACGGCGGGGGUUAGCGUUGUUCGGAAUUACUGGGCGUAAAGCGCACGUAGGCGGACGGUUAAGUCGGGGGUGAAAUCCCGGGGCUCAACCCCGGAACGGCCUUCGAUACUGGCAGUCUAGAGUUCGAGAGAGGUGAGUGGAAUUCCGAGUGUAGAGGUGAAAUUCGUAGAUAUUCGGAGGAACACCAGUGGCGAAGGCGGCUCACUUGCUCGAUACUGACGCUGAGGUGCGAAAGUGUGGGGAGCAAA
rnacentral:rRNA from 1 species